UGGACCAGUGAUGACAAAUGGUGGCGUUGGAGUUAAGGACGAUGAAUAUGUGUCUGAAACUCUGAGGUCCAA
ensembl:snoRNA SNORD114-17 small nucleolar RNA, C/D box 114-17